rnacentral:misc_RNA from 1 species
CUCUCUCAAACCUUCGGGUUUGGUUUUGAGUGAUACUCUUAGUCAGACUAGGUGUUUGCUUGAAAAGUAUUGGCAGGAGCGGUGCAAUACAGCGCACUCGACAAUCAAUGUAUUAGGUUUAUCCAUCAUUGAAGUCUUGGAAACUGUUUGUUCAGGCCCAGCCUUACAAAAACAAACCAU